UACGGAGGGUGCGAGCGUUACCCGGAUUUACUGGGUGUAAAGGGCGUGUAGGCGGUCUCUCAAGUCCGAUGCUAAAGACCGAAGCUCAACUUCGGGGGUGCGUUGGAUACUGUGAGGCUAGACGGUCGGAGAGGGUAGCGGAAUUUCAGGAGUAGCGGUGAAAUGCGCAGAUACCGGAAGGAACGCCAAUAGCGAAAGCAGCUACCUGGACGAUUUGUGACGCUGAGGCGCGAAAGCGUGGGGAGCAAACAGG
rnacentral:rRNA from 1 species